UCCCUGGUGGUCCAGUGGUUAGGACUCCAAGCUUUUAACACUGUGAUUCUGGGUUUGAUCCCUGGUCAGGGAA
rfam:TPA: Bos taurus chromosome 12, whole genome shotgun sequence.